CAGCCUCAAUGGAAGGGGACCCACUCCCUAUGUAGAUAUGAAGGGCUUAUUCUAACAUACAGAGAAAACACAGUGAUUCUUAGUUUCACAUGAUUAUACAUGAAUUAAAAUAUACUUAUGAAUAUUCCAUUUCUGCCAAUAUUUCUGCUAAUAAAUCCCCCUAAAUCGUACACACUGGUCCUUUAACCUCAUGCUAAUGGCCCACAGUUAGAGAGCCACUGGUCAAGUCACCAAUGUACAAGUUUUAUUACGUGGCUAACCUGGCCUCUACAGUUCCCCACCUCCGUCACCCACAUUUUUUUUUUCUUUUAACCAGUUUUUGGUUAAAGCACAACAACAAAAAAAACUGUCAUGUUUAAUAGUGCUUUUAUAAAAUGGUACAUUACUUUUGAUAAUGUACAUUUUGCAUUCCCAGAUACAUUUCACUUUUCAUUCUUGUUGCAGCAACCUGCAGUAUUUUCAGCCCUGCUGUAGGGUGGUUUAAUAGCAGAAUGGUUAACAUCCAGUUUGGAUUCAAACAAGACACCACAGCAGUCAGAAAGCUGCUGUUGAAGAGACUGUAACACUUUCUGGGCCUUGAACCCUUAAAGAAAGGCAUUCUGGGAGCAGGACUAGCAUUACGCUACCAUUAAGUUGCAAGAGACAGAUUUAAGGAAGAAAUAAAACAACAACUUUUGUCAAAUUUGAUGCAGCAGAGGCAGAUAUCAGACUUACAAUAAGCUUCAGAAACACUUAAAACUACACUUCCUACAAUACAACUCAAAUCACAGAUUUCUCUCAAACUCCACACCCCCAGUUUGUAAUGCAGGCAAGAAAAGAUAAUGCUGAUAACAUCACUAUGACAUCAUCAGGUUUUUUUUUCCUUCUCAUUGUCUAGUAAAUGAGGCGGGUCAGUUGAAGAUGCGUUAACUAAAAAAGUCUUCAUCACAGAGCAACUGAAUGAAAUGACUGUUAUAAGUUGACCAUAUCCAACAGCAUGAGGUUUCUAACACAUUGUCAUGCUUUUAUAUCAUACCUGCGUAAUUCAAGGAGCAGCAUGGACUAGUUCAUGUAACAGGAGCAGUGUUUCCCAGCUGGCAGCUCAGCGCCACAGAGGUGUGUGAUGAGAUGGUGUAACAGGGCAGUAAGCAUGUAGCGCUUCAGAUCAGGCCAUAUUCCAUUAUUCUCAUCCGUUAUCCUCAUGUAUCUCAUUUGCAAAGCCAAACCUCUGGUCCAGAUGCCAAGUUCUAAACUGUGGGACUGAUCUGUCUUCAGUUUAGUCAGUGUUCUGUAUUUGUUGGCUCUGAGCAAUGUGUUGGUGUCAGGUCAGCGGGUUCCUGGUAUAAGCCAAGGUUGACUCCACCAACCUCAGCUGCCCUUUUUAUCACUUAAAGGAUCCAAACAUAUCUACGUAAUUUCAUGUGUUCACCAUUAGACUACUGUAUUGCAGAGUAUUCCAUUUUGCAGUAUUUAUUUGUGCCUUGAGUUCUUUUUUUCUUUCUUUUGUUUCACUUUACAUUCUUAAUGAAGAGAUUAAUUUUUUUAACUGGAUUGUAAUUUGUUUCUCCCUUCAUCUUAAUCAUAUCUGACUGAGUGUGAAAUGUUUUUAUUCCGCCUGGCUGAUUAAGAAUCCAUGCAACAUUUUGCUCAAUAUCUCCGGUCCAGUGUUAAUCAUCAUGUGUAAGAAUCCACUUCCACUGCCUGUGGAUCAUAUUCAACAUAAGCCUUGCCCCAGAUGCACCAAGACUGAGUUGUGAGGAUGAUCUGCACAUUUAACGCAUGUUGGUCGCAGUUGAUAUUUCAUCUCAUUUGAUAAGAAAUCCUUGCUGACCUAGCUUUAGUGCAAACUGCCCUGCAACUGGACUUAAACAAGAUCCAGUCAUUACAAUCAAGCACAAAUAGCUUAAGCUGUCAGGCUCGUCCGCCAACAAUUGCACUCGAAAACUCUUUUAUAGCCUUCAACCUGCAUGGCCUUGCCUACAAAUAAAUAAGUGGGUACAUUAAUGCGAUCUACAUCCAAUUUACAUAUGCAUGAUGACCAGAGCAGGCACAGAGACGCUUUGCUUUUGUGAUCAGCACUGCAGGCAGCUUUCCACUGAAGAGCAGUUACAGUACAGCAUGAUGUAUAAUUUGUUCAUUUUGGUGAUGCUGUGCAAAAAAAAAUCUGGGCCUGAUGUUUCUGAGUAUUCUGGUACAAACUGGUUAUGUGGAAGUUUGUAGCAUUUAGUCUUUAUUUUUUUACCAUGUUCACCAUGCGCUCAUGACACUGUAUGAAAAUGUCUUAUCCAUUUAACUCACAAAAAUGCAAAUUCGAACCUUACCGAUAAAUCUGUAUAUUUGCUGCUUGUCAGAGAUAUUGCAGCAUUGGCGUAUAUGUUGCUAAGUAACAAUUUGCAGUCCAGAAAUGUCAGAGAUGUUUGAGGUCAUUUAGAAACAGUGUUGCUGUUAUAUAGGAUGUCCACCAGAGGGCACUGACCAGUAAAAUAUCCCACUGAAAACAUAUCCUGGAUGCAGGUAUUUAAUACCCAAAUUUAAGGAAUCCUCACCAGAAAUGCACCAAAAUGUUUUUGACAAAAACUCUCAGCAUAAAGUCCCCCUACUGAAUAUUUUUGGAGCUUUCGGUUAUAUCUUCUGGCCUUUAUAGAAUGAAGGAGUUCACUCAUAAUUAAUAGUUAUAUAGUUUGCUCAUAACAUGAUGAUAACAAUAGAGCUAGACCGGCAGAUAUAUUGGUAUCACAGUAUGUGUCAGCCAACAAGUAACAAAACUUUAGUACAAAAAAGACCAAAGAUUCGUUUGAAAGAAUUCCACCACAAGGCGCAAAAGCUUUCCAUUGUAUCAUACAAAGUUUUAAUCCCAAUGUUUAAUCCAACAUGAACGAGAAGUCCUUAAAGUGUUCAGAAUCUACAAUUCCUUGACAACAGGGCAAACCUCAUCUGUUGAGGAAUAUCAUGUGCUAUGAUCGAAAGCUCCAGAAUUGCUACUAAAGGAACUUGUGAGAUUCGAAGGUCAAGAAUAACCUUUAAAUCUCAAAUGCUUUAAGUAAUUUAGAAACUGUUGCUCUUACAUAGUUUGUCCACCAGAGAGCACUGUCCCACUCAGUACAGAAUUAUGUAUAAAAACUAUUUUAAGGAAUUCUUAUCAGAAAUGUUUACUUAAGAAAAGAAGAAUGUUUACAUUCAAUCAGAAUAAUGAUCAAUAUAUCAUAACUUCCAAAUAUCAGCCUCAAAUUCAGAAUAAAUCAAGCUCUGGAUAAAAACUGAACUGUUUUAUAACUGAACAAACUCCAUCUGCUAAAGAAGGCUACAAGUUUUAGCUGAAAAGUCCAGAAAAAUUCCAGUUCUUCAUCUCUAAACGAGUUCAUGUUGAAGAAAGAAGCUGAAUUCACACACUGAGCCAACCUUGUGAAGAUGUUAAUGUAGCACCCACUCUGCACAUGCUCAGUUCCGUCUCGUUCUGCCUCUCACUGGCUCAGAAGCAUGUGCCAGAGGCCCCAACCCCAUCCCCAACCCCUCCCUCCAGACAUCACUGAACUUUUUUUACAUGGUGAAGUUAGCUCCAUUGUCAAACUUCUGCAGUCUUUGGUAACAGACAGUAUAAAAAAGUUUGAGUCUGGUGUUGAACCGUUACUUUGUAAAGUUUUUUUUUUUCUUUGUCAACAGAAGACAAAAUAAACACUUCAUUGCCAUAUUCUGGAAAACAAA